GGGCUAGUGGUGCAAUGGAUAGCGCAUCUGACUACAGAUCAGAAGAUUGCAGGUUCAGCUCCUGCCUGGUUCG
rnacentral:tRNA from 2 species